UGACUGAGCGGCGGACGGGUGGAGUAACGCGUGGGUAACCUGCCUCAUACAGGGGGAUAACAGUUAGAAAUGACUGCUAAUACCGCAUAAGACCACAGGGUCGCAUGACCCGGUGGUAAAAACUCCGGUGGUAUGAGAUGGACCCGCGUCUGAUUAGCUAGUUGGUGGGGUAACGGCUCACCAAGGCGACGAUCAGUAGCCGACCUGAGAGGGUGACCGGCCACAUUGGGACUGAGACACGGCCCAAACUCCUACGGGAGGCAGCAGUGGGGAAUAUUGCACAAUGGGGGAAACCCUGAUGCAGCGACGCCGCGUGAAGGAUGAAGUAUUUCGGUAUGUAAACUUCUAUCAGCAGGGAAGAAAAUGACGGUACCUGACUAAGAAGCCCCGGCUAACUACGUGCCAGCAGCCGCGGUAAUACGUAGGGGGCAAGCGUUAUCCGGAUUUACUGGGUGUAAAGGGAGCGUAGACGGCAUGGCAAGUCUGAAGUGAAAGCCCGGGGCUCAACCCCGGGACUGCUUUGGAAACUGUCAGGCUAGAGUGCUGGAGAGGUAAGUGGAAUUCCUAGUGUAGCGGUGAAAUGCGUAGAUAUUAGGAGGAACACCAGUGGCGAAGGCGGCUUACUGGACAGUGACUGACGUUGAGGCUCGAAAGCGUGGGGAGCAAACAGGAUUAGAUACCCUGGUAGUCCACGCCGUAAACGAUGACUACUAGGUGUCGGGUAGCAAAGCUAUUCGGUGCCGCAGCAAACGCAAUAAGUAGUCCACCUGGGGAGUAC
rnacentral:rRNA from 1 species